AUUCAACUGAUGAGUCCCAAAUAGGACGAAAUGCGCGUCAAACUGGAU
rnacentral:hammerhead_ribozyme from 1 species